GCAGUUGCAUACAACAUUACCUGCCAUAUAUAUAUUUGCAAUUCACCGCGAAUAAAAAUGCUUCCAAGUGAGUCAGCCAUUCUGAUCAUACCCAGAAGGAGGAAAUUUUGAUGCAAUUUAUCUCAGCAACAUCUGGUUUCAACCGACCUUUACUGAUAGCUUUGCCUUCGUGUAAACAAGAGAAAAUCAACCCCGAAAAACCUCCAAUGACAAUCACCCCGAAUAACAUCAAGCAGUAAAAGAAGCUCGCUACAGAUACUGGGUGUCUUGUCUCGUAGACAAAAGGACAGCAAUACUUCAAACGCUUAAAGCAGACCAACAUCAACUGAAAGAGUCUAAGAG
rnacentral:misc_RNA from 1 species